UAAAACAUUUAUUUUCUAUUUUCAGGACGUUUGCACGGGUGAAGCAGUACGACCUCUGCCCAGUGCUCCUGCUAUCGAGCCAUCAUCAUCUGUAGAGAACCCGACAUCUAGUACCCAACCAAUUGUUACAGCUCGUGGACUCUAUUCAGAAUGUUCUAUAUGUCUUGACCGAACAACUAACAUCAUUUUCCUCAACUGCGGCCAUGUUUGUUGUUGUACCGAAUGUGCCGUUGAUCUAGAGGUCUGUCCUCUCUGCCGAUCACACAUUUUACAGAAAAUCCAAGUACAGCAACAGAGCUGAUCACUGCCAAUUUUCUUGUUAAUCAUCAUCCAAAACAUUAUAUCAUAUCCAGCCCCAUUUCAGCUACUGUACAAAUAUGGCUAAAUUGGGAAUAUAACCUUUCUUGAUAUUGCACUCGCUUCUGCUUUACUGAAAAGUUAUUGCUGCUAGCCAUCUUAUAUUCUUCAUAAUCCUAGUAACUGUCAUGUUUUGACAUUUCUUCCAAAUUACUUUUGCCAUAAUUCCAUUAUAUAUAUAAAAAUAUAUUAUGUGUAUUUAUAUCUUAUUCAGUUAAUGGGAACUUUUUUUAAAAAUUAAAUUAAAUAUUAGAAUUUCAAAUACAAAAUCUGAAAAAUACUCGUUCUACCAAAAGUUUGAACCUGGCUGGAAUUUCCUUCCAUGUUUAAAUAUGACUUGGUCACAUUAUUAAACCAAUUGUUAUAAAUAGCUGCCAGAACUUGAAAUAGCUGCAGUAUGACAAUUGGAAAGAAUGCAACAUUGGUACACUGGUGUUAUUUUUUUGCAUGUGUUAUGUGCCUUUUUUCCAGCUGUUUGUUUACAUUUUUAUCCACUACAUUGUAUUUCACAUAUAUCUUCUACGAACUUGCUUUGAUAACUUUCAAAAACAACAAUAUUGAGAAAUCAAAUAAUCUGUGAUAAUUCAUUUUGAAAUACAACUUUCCAGAAAAUUUUUCUAAUAAAUGCAGCAAAUAUAU